GUGUGAUUCAAAGUCAUUGUUUCCUUGUUGACUUUCUGUUUAAAUGAUCUACCUAUUGAUCUAUUGAUCCCUAAUUAAUAAUCUGCACACCAACAUCUGCAUCAGCACCUACUUUCAGAGAUUGCAACCUGAGGGAAGGCCUCAUUGAGAAGCUGAAGACCACCUACGAAGAUGCACACCUUGGAGGAUAAUUUACCAUGGACCAUCCCAUUUCCCGGUUUAAAAUUUCCUCAUUUCAAAUAAUAAUAAUAAUGACAACAAAUAAAAAUUUUUUAAAAAUAAU